AGGGAUGGGAAUAGAUUGAUGUUCUUUAAUACAGAUAUGCUGAUGCCUUUCUAAAUGAUUUUUCCAACAGAUGGGUCAGAGAGUUUUUGAAUGAAGAAAACAAAGGCCUAAAUGUUUUGGUGGAAUAUUUGUCAUUUGCACAAUAUGCAGUCACCUUUGACUUUGAAAGCUUGGAAAACAAUAUGGAAAACUCAAUGGACAAAUCUAAACCUUGGAGCCGUUCGAUAGAAGAUCUUCAUCGAGGAAGUAACUUGCCUUCUCCCGUUGGCAGUAGCAUUUCCCGCUCUAGCAGGCAUUCUACACUGAGGUAAGGAAGUAAGAGGAGUGGAAUAGAGAGGAGUGGCCUCGCGAGGAAGGGUUGUUUUAAAUU
rnacentral:lncRNA from 11 species